UUUCUAAAAAACCUAAUGCUCUCAACCCCCCCCCCCCUUUAUCUCUUCCUUCUUUCUUCAGCUAGGGUUUCAACACCCAUCAUCGCCGGGGUUCACCGUGCCGAACGGAGAGGGGAGCGGCCACGGGGUAGAUCCGGCGGUGUCAGACGCAUGGAGGAGAAGGGCAUGCGCGGGGUGUGGUGGUGGUAGUGCGCAAGGUGGCCCAUGGUUGGCCUAGCGUGCGGCGGCUGGAGGCUUGGGGAGCUGCUAGGGUUUCCUCCUUUUUUUUUUUUGAAAAUGUUUAGUGGGCUUGGUUGAUUUGGGCCUGUUGGGCUAGUCUUUUAGUUUUGUACUUUGGACUUUAUUUAUUUGGUUUAUUGGGUUUUGUUA